rnacentral:rRNA from 1 species
CCUACGGGAGGCAGCAGUAGGGAAUCUUCCACAAUGGGCGCAAGCCUGAUGGAGCAACACCGCGUGAGUGAAGAAGGGUUUCGGCUCGUAAAGCUCUGUUGUCGGAGAAGAACGUGCGUUAGAGUAACUGUUCACGCAGUGACGGUAUCCAACCAGAAAGUCCCGGCUAACUACGUGCCAGCAGCCGCGGUAAUACGUAGGUGGUAAGCAUUAUCCGGAUUUACUGGGCGUAAAGCGAGCGCAGGCGGUUGGUUAGGUCAGAUGUGAAAGCCCUCGGCUCAACCGAAGAAGUGCAUCGGAAACUGGGCGACUUGAGUGCAGUAGAGGGCAGUGGAACUCCAUGUGUAGCGGUGGAAUGCGUAGAGAGAUGGAGGAACACCAGUGGCGAAGGCGGCUGUCUGGUCUACGACUGACGCUGAGGCUCGAAAGCAUGGGUAGCGAACAGGAUUAGAUACCCUUGUAGUC